rnacentral:rRNA from 1 species
UACGUAGGGCGCAAGCAUUGUCCGGAAUUAUUGGGCGUAAAGAGCUCGUAGGCGGCUUGUCACGUCGGGUGUGAAAGCCCGGGGCUUAACCCCGGGUCUGCAUUCGAUACGGGCAGGCUGGAGUUCGGUAGGGGAGAUCGGAAUUCCUGGUGUAGCGGUGAAAUGCGUAGAUAUCUGGAGGAAUACCGAUGGCGAAGGCAGCCUUCUGGGCCAACACUGACGCUCAUGCACGAAAGCGUGGGGAGCAAACAGG